rfam:Beta vulgaris subsp. vulgaris Bvchr6.sca018.con0002.1, whole genome shotgun sequence.
UUGUUGAACCCUGUGAAUUACGUGAAAGUAGGAUACUCCAAAUUUGGAGGUCAAAGAGUUUUAAAAAACGUUCUUGGUGGAAAAGAUGUGGAAACUAUCAAGCUGGAGUAUGGUAGCGGUAGAGGGAAUUUCCGGUGGAACGGUGAAAUGCGUAGAGAUCGGAAAGAACAACAACGGCGAAAGCACUCUACUGGGCCGACACUGACACUGAGAGACGAAAGCUAGGGGAGCGAAUGGGAUUAGAUACCCUAGUAGUCCUAGCCAUAAACGAUGGAUACUAGGUGUUGUGCGUAUCGACCCGUGCAGUGUUGUAGCUAACGCGUUAAGUAUCCCGCCUGGGGAGUACGUUCGCAAGAAUGAAACUCAAAUAUGACAUUAUAAUUUAAAAUUUUAGGAUUUCAUUGAUCGACGGAUACAAAUAUGAACACAUCCAAC